GGGCCGCUAGCUCAACAGGUAGAGCGGCUGAUUCUUAAUCAUUACGCUGCAGGUUCGAGUCCUGCCCGGCCCCCCA
rnacentral:tRNA from 1 species